rnacentral:rRNA from 1 species
ACGUAGGGAGCAAGCGUUGUCCGGAUUCACUGGGUGUAAAGGGUGCGCAGGUGGGCUGGUAAGUCAGUGGUGAAAUCUCACGGCUCAACCGUGAAAUUGCCUUUGAUACUGCCAGUCUUGAGUUCGGGAGAGGUUGAUGGAAUUCCAGGUGUAGCGGUGGAAUGCGUAGAUAUCUGGAAGAACACCAGUUGCGAAGGCGGUCAACUGGCCCGUAACUGACGCUCAGGCACGAAAGCGUGGGUAGCGAACAGG